AGAAUCAACGCUGGCGGCGUGCCUAACACAUGCAAGUCGAACGAGAAAGUGGAGCAAUCCAUGAGUAAAGUGGCGCACGGGUGAGUAACACGUGACUAACCUACCCUUGAGUGGGGGAUAACCUAGAGAAAUCUGGGCUAAUACCGCAUAAUACCUUCGGGUCAAAGGAGCAAUUCGCUUAAGGAGGGGGUCGCGGCCGAUUAGUUAGUUGGCGGGUAAUGGCCCACCAAGACUAUGAUCGGUA
rnacentral:rRNA from 1 species